rfam:Felis catus isolate Cinnamon breed Abyssinian chromosome D2, whole genome shotgun sequence.
GCCUGGGUGGCUCAGUCGGUUGAGUGUCUGACUUUGGCUCACGUCAUGAUCUCACAGUUCAUGGGUUCGAGCCCUGUGUCAGGCU